GACGAACGCUGGCGGCGUGCUUAACACAUGCAAGUCGAACGGAAGGGCCUUCUUUUGGGGGGUUGCUCGAGGGGCAAAGGGGUGAGAAACAGGGGAUUACCCUCCCUUGUACUUUGGAAUACCUCCAGAAACCUGGGGCUAAUACCGACUAGGAGCUCCUGCUGCCGGGGGGGGGUGGGAAAUUUCCGGCGGUGGGGGUUGGACUCCCGGCUUACCAGUUUGUUGGUGGGGUAGUGGCUUACCAGGGCUUUGACGGGUAGCCGGCCUGAGAGGGUGACCGGCCACAUUGGGACUGAGAUACGGCCCAGACUCCUACGGGAGGCAGCAGUGGGGAAUAUUGCACAAUGGGCGGAAGCCUGAUGCAGCAACGCCGCGUGCGGGAUGACGGCCUUCGGGUUGUAAACCGCUUUCGCCUGUGACGAAGCGUGAGUGACGGUAAUGGGUAAAGAAGCACCGGCUAACUACGUG
rnacentral:rRNA from 1 species